UACGUAGGGUGCAAGCGUUGUCCGGAAUUAUUGGGCGUAAAGAGCUCGUAGGCGGUUUGUCGCGUCUGCUGUGAAAACUCGGGGCUUAACCCCGGGCCUGCAGUGGGUACGGGCAGACUAGAGUGCGGUAGGGGAGACUGGAAUUCCUGGUGUAGCAGUGAAAUGCGUAGAUAUCGGGAGGAAUACCGAUGGCGAAGGCAGGUCUCUGGGCUGACACUGACGCUCAUGCACGAAAGCGUGGGGAGCAAACAGG
rnacentral:rRNA from 1 species